GGCCGGCUAGCUCAGUUGGUUAGAGCGUGGUGCUAAUAACGCCAAGGUCCUGGGUUCGACCCCCAUGUUGGCCA